AUCCUUUUAUUGGUUCAUAAGCAUGAUGAUUGGGUGUCCACAUGCUUAAGUGAAGUGUGCCUCCCACAAACUUUGUUCUGCGCUGGCACAUUACCUGUCUGACG